rnacentral:rRNA from 1 species
UACGGAGGGGGCAAGCGUUGUUCGGAAUUACUGGGCGUAAAGGGUGUGUAGGUGGCGCCGUAAGUCGGGUGUGAAAUUUCGGAGCUUAACUCCGAAACUGCAUUCGAUACUGCGGUGCUUGAGGACUGGAGAGGAGACUGGAAUUCAUGGUGUAGCAGUGAAAUGCGUAGAGAUCAUGAGGAAGACCAGUGGCGAAGGCGGGUCUCUGGACAGUUACUGACACUGAGGCACGAAGGCCAGGGGAGCAAACGGG